GACGAACCGUGCGAACGUUAUUCGGAAUCACUGGGCUUAAAGCGCGUGUAGGCGGAUCGGCACGUCGGCCGUUGAAAUCCCCCGGCUCAACCGGGGAACGGGCGCCGAAACGACCGAUCUUGAGGGGCGUAGGGGGGGCUGGAACUUCCGGUGGAGCGGUGAAAUGCGUUGAGAUCGGAAGGAACGCCCGUGGCGAAAGCGAGCCCCUGGACGUCAUCUGACGCUGAGACGCGAAAGCCAGGGGAGCGAA
rnacentral:rRNA from 1 species